AGAACGAACGCUGGCGGCACGCCUAACACAUGCAAGUCGAGCGCCCAGCAAUGGGAGCGGCGGACGAGUGAGUAACACGUGGGAACAUGCCUUUCGGUUCGGCACAACUCAGGGAAACUUGAGCUAAUUCCGGAUGCGCCCGUAAGGGGAAAGAUUUAUCGCCGAAAGAUUGGCCCGCGUAAGAUUAGCUAGUUGGUGAGGUAAUGGCUCACCAAGGCAACGAUCUUUAGCUGGUUUGAGAGAACGACCAGCCACGUUGGGACUGAGACACGGCCCAAACUCCUACGGGAGGCAGCAGUGGGGAAUCUUGGACAAUGGGCGAAAGCCUGAUCCAGCGAUGCCGCGUGAGUGAUGAAGGCCUUCGGGUUGUAAAACUCUUUUACCCGGGAAGAUAAUGACUGUACCGGAGAUAAGCUCCGGCUAACUUCGCGCCAGCAGCCGC
rnacentral:rRNA from 1 species